GACGAACGCUGGCGGCGUGCUUAACACAUGCAAGUCGAACGGAAAGGCCCUGCUUUUGUGGGGUGCUCGAGUGGCGAACGGGUGAGUAACACGUGAGUAACCUGCCCUUGACUUUGGGAUAACUUCAGGAAACUGGGGCUAAUACCGGAUAGGAGCUCCUGCUGCAUGGUGGGGGUUGGAAAGUUUCGGCGGUUGGGGAUGGACUCGCGGCUUAUCAGCUUGUUGGUGGGGUAGUGGCUUACCAAGGCUUUGACGGGUAGCCGGCCUGAGAGGGUUACCGGCGACAAUGGGACUGAGGUACGGACCAGUAGCGUACGGGAGGCAGCGGGGGGGAAUAUUGCGGAGUGGGCGGGAGCGUGAGACAGAGGCGUCGCGUGCGGGAUGACGGCCUUCUGGUGAUAAACCGCUGUCGCCUGAAACAAGGCGGGAGUGACGGUAAUGGGUAAAGAAGCACCGGCUAACUACGUG
rnacentral:rRNA from 1 species